GACGAACGCUGGCGGCGUGCUUAACACAUGCAAGUCGAGCGGUAAGGCCCUUUCGGGGGGUACACGAGCGGGCGAACGGGUGAGUAACACGUGGGUGACCUGCCCUUAGCUCUGGGAUAAGCCUGGGAAACUGGGUCUAAUACCGGAUAUGACUCCAUGACGCAUGUUGUGGGGUGGAAAGCCUUGUGCGGCUAGGGGAUGGGGCCCGCGGCCUAUCGAGCUUGGUUGGUGGGGUGAUGGCCUACCAAGGCGACGACGGGUAGCCGGCCUGAGA
rnacentral:rRNA from 1 species